rnacentral:rRNA from 1 species
AUAGGGGAGCCGGAGGGAAACCGAGUCUUAAYYGGGCGUUAAGUUGCAGGGUAUAGACCCGAAACCCGGUGAUCUAGCCAUGGGCAGGUUGAAGGUUGGGUAACACUAACUGGAGGACCGAACCGACUAAUGUUGAAAAAUUAGCGGAUGACCUGUGGCUGGGGGUGAAAGGCCAAUCAAACCGGGAGAUAGCUGGUUCUCCCCGAAAGCUAUUUAGGUAGCGCCUCGUGAAUUCAUCUCCGGGGGUAGAGCACUGUUUCGGCUAGGGGGCCAUCCCGGCUUACCAACCCGAUGCAAACUGCGAAUACCGGAGAAUGUUAUCACGGGAGACACACGGCGGGUGCUAACGUCCGUCGUGAAGAGGGAAACAACCCAGACCGCCAGCUAAGGUCCCAAAGUCAUGGUUAAGUGGGAAACGAUGUGGGAAGGCCCAGACAGCCAGGAUGUUGGCUUAGAAGCAGCCAUCAUUUAAAGAAAGCGUAAUAGCUCACUGGUCGAGUCGGCCUGCGCGGAAGAUGUAACGGGGCUAAACCAUGCACCGAAGCUGCGGCAGCGA